CCAGGAGAAACUGCUUUCAGCUGUUGCUCCUUUUGGUCAUUCAAGCUGUCUCAUGGGGGCUGUCUCCAAGGAGAAGACCACCGUAUAGUCAGCACACAUACCUAGCAGCCAACCAUGUGACAAUUGUGUGAUCAACUACCAAUUACCUAAUGGGGGGUCAUGAACUAUGGCCACAAUGUUGCUCCUGAAAAAAAAAAAAAAAAAAAAAAAAAAUUAGUGCUCCUGACAACCAAAGCACAUAGCACAUAAUGCCAUCACCCCAGACAAAACAAACAUAAACACCCCUGGCAACCAACCACUGCCCUAGCAACCAAAAAGGCACUAUGAAGAGGAUGAAAACUCCAAGAGGUCCGGAGUAGAAUGGAUACUACCUCCACUGAACUGUAGCUUUGCAGGUCAAGGACCAACCUGCAGCCCUCUAUGGACCAAUGAGACAUCACUGAAUCCGCAGUGGCAAAACGGAAUGCCUGGGAAGGAAUUCACCACUACAAGAGAGAGACUGGAAAUUUCAGAGCCUGCAGUUCAAAGUGCCUGAUACUGCUUGGAAGGCAAUGUGGUUCCUUCCUGCUGACCUCAGUUCUGCUGAGUGUGAGAUUUGCAAGGGGCGGUCACUUUAAAAUCUGCAAACAUACCUUCAUUUUGUCCUUCUACUGAUUAUUUCUCUGGAGGAAAAACAAGAACACUGUUGGGAUAAGCAUUAAAGGCAAUGUUAAAAGUUUAAUUUCAGUAUGGUUCAGAAUUGAGAGGAAGUUAGAGAUCUGAGGGUUUUCGCAAGCUGCACAAUCCUAUUAACCUUCAUACCCAGACUUUUACAUAAAGUCACACUGACACAGACAAGAGGACAGAAAGUGCUACUAUAAAACCGUAGCCCUUGAUCUUAUGUCAAUUACACCAAGAAAAGUAUAUUUUAGCAUUAUAACCAUUUCCAUUAUCUUUCCCCUGUUUUGUUGUUGCUUUGUUUUUAAACAGCCACCCUUAAAAGGUAAGAUGUCAAUCUAACUUGAGAUUCAAAAAAUGCAGGAAGCAUGGAUGUUUUACUAAGGCAUAUAAAUAUUUAUUUUCUGCAAAUAUUUCUUAGUAUUUCAGUUUGAUCAGUAGUGGACAAAUCUCACACCUAAAGCUUUUGAAGUGUUCUGCCUCAUGCUCAAGUUACUGGCUGAUAGCCAGUAAGAACAUCUGGCAACCUUUCCUUAAAAGAAAACUCCUGAAUAUUUUACAGUAAAUAAUAUGCAAAUUACAGGAUUUAUUUUCUACAUUUAAAACAAACAAUGUAAAUGUGAUAUAUAUUGGAAGAGAGUACAUCAGUUCUUUACUAAUUACUAUAGGGAAAACCUAAAUACUUUACUUUGAGCUCAGGUGAAAGAAUUAUUUUGAAAAGACAACCUUGAUUCUUACAACACAACAGGCUCCUUUGAUCUGCUAUAAAUACAGACUACUUAUUUACUACCUUGUGUACUGCACUACCCUUCUUAUCGGAAUUAGUUUUAAAAAUUCCAUUGAAGUAGUUUCAGACUAGUUAAUAAAAAUCUCAGUAUUGAGAUUCUGGUAUUUAAACUGAUUAGUGAUUCAAUUUGCUCUCAUUCUGACCACUGGCAGCCAGUAUACUUCUGGGAACUCCUAGGCUGUUCCAGCCCUAUUGCUGUGGAGCUGCCUGGGGAUUAUUGAUAGUCAGAAUAAAGCAAAGACACUUCAGCUCAGCCCCUCAACCCAGCUCCCUCCAAAGCUACCCUGCUGCUCCCUCAGCUGCACCUAGAUGGCUCUUAAUGCUCUGCUGACUGUAGUAACGUGAUCAAAACCCCUAGGAGGAAGAGGUACUGUUAUGAGUAUACUUCUCAUUGCCUACAAACACAGCAUAUAGGAGAGGAAGAAAACAUAGGGAAGGAUUAUUUUCACUCCUUGAUCUGACUGGUAAUUAUUAGUUCAUUCUUUCUUUGUACAACAUUCUUGCCCCUCAAAUGCAUAAAGAAAGAAACCCCUGGCUACACACUUAAGGGAACAAAAGCAUACUGUUAGAAUGAUUUUAUUUAGAGAAAUGUUACCUUUUUUUUAUGUUUCAGUGCUGAUCUCUCCUCUGGUGACAGCAACAGGACCUGAGGGAAGGGCAUGGAGAUGCCUUGGGGGAGGUCAGGCUGGGCAUUAUAAAAAAUUUCUUCACCAGAGGGCAGUGGGCAUGGGCUCCCAGGAGCAUUUGGAUACUACUUUCACACACAGGGUUUGAAUUCUGUGUGGUGCUGUGUGGAGCCAGGAUUUGCACUCAGUGAUCCUUGUGAGUACUUUCCAACUCAAGAUAAUCUAUGAUUGUAUGUUUGAUGCAAUACAGUGGUGAGACAAAAAUUUGUUUAGAGGGUGAAAUGCAUACAGUGCCAUGCAAUGCAACCCUGUCCAGACUUUGACAGGUACAAGAGUAAAAAUUCAAAAUAAACCUCAACUUUGAAUAAAUAUCAUUAGUUGCCAUACUUUUGCCUCUAUUAUAUCAGAAUGAGUUUGUGUGAGCUUCAGCUCUACACAGAUUAGUAGUGCAAAAUCUACGGUUUUCUGAGGUGUACGAAUACACGUACACACCACUAUUAAAUGGGUGUAUACAUACACAUUACAUGUGUGGUGAAAAAAUCCUAUGUGUUUAUAAACACUUAUAUGCACUAAUGCUUUUAUUUAUAUACUCAAUGCACAUACAUAUAUAUAGACAUACAUCCACAGGACUUGAUCAUUAAGGGUAUGUAUAUGUGUGCAAGUGUAGAAUAAACUAUAUGACUUGAGAAUAAAAAUGAAACAAAGUUUGUGAUGACAACAGGGGUUUUGAAAACACAGGCACAAGGACCCAGGUCUGUAAAUAUCCUAAGAAAACCUUGUGAUUAAAGAAAUACAAUUUUGGCAGCACAUGACUAACUGGUAGCAGAAUUCACCCUGGUUUUCUGACUGAGCUGUGUUGCAAUUGCAAUAGCAAUUUUGCUAACUAACUUACAUUUGUAUUGUGUUUUCAAAAAUGUGCUUAUCAGAAAUUCAUAUGUAAUUAUCAAGAUAUCCUAACAUAAGUAACAAUAUGCAAGGAACUUCCAUUGGCUUAAUUUUCUGAAAGGAGCAGUCUGGUACUGAACAAUUCUCACUGUGUCCUUAACUUAGUCAUAAUUAGAUGAAAAGAAAAAUCAUCUUCUUGAACACUGUGGCCUGUGCCAACGAUUACCAACUGAAGAGAUAGAAGGCAAAGAAGAAACUGCCAGAGGAAAUUCUUGUAGUGCAUUCACACUACAGCCUGUAAGUUUAUUUAUACUAUGACAUAGUACAUCUGUCAUCUCUCAUCCUACUACAUACCCAUGGUAUGAGACAGGGUGUAUGUUGGGGUGGAGGGAGGUCUGAAGAAAGAGUACAUUGUUUUGAAAUGCUUGUCAAGAGCCUUAAAUAUCAAGACAUCCAAUUCCUGGAUUUUCCAUCUCCUUAACACUAAUUCCUUUUCCUCUCUUAUAUGUACAUAAACUGCCAGUGUUUUCUGUAAGACCUCUGUAUAAACAAACCUGAACAGAAGAACCACUUUCAGCUCCCAGUCCCAGAAGUAACAUCACUGGAUGUGGACAACUAAUGUUGUCCUUCUUGACUUUUACUCCUAUGUAAAUGUGAGAGUGUUUAAAAAUAGUUGAUUUUUCCUAUUGGAGAGUUUUCCAUCUGACUCCAUUUUCUCUUUAUUUGAUAGGAGACAAAUAUUUUAAUAAAGUCUCUUUCAUAAAGAAAUAUGAACUUCAUUUGAAACAGGUCCAGUCACCAAAUUUUAGCAUAGUACAUCUGUCAUAAAUUACAGCCAGUCUCAUCUUGUUCCAGUCUAUACAAAGACAAAUGGAACUAGAAAUCAGGAGUACAAGUAUCUUAUUAAUUAUCUGAAAGUAGAAUGUAACACUGAAAUGAAAUCAGCUUAUCAGAUUUCAAAUUGAAACACACUCUUUUAUUUGUAAGUCUUACCACGGUUGCCUUUACUCCAAACUACGUCAUGGAGACUGAGGGUAUGGGGUAUGGGUUUUCAGAUAGAGGUAGGGUUGGGAUGAUUGCAGAUGGAAUAUUUGUGGCCCCACCAAUGGAAUAUUUGUGGCCCCACCAAGCUUCUCAGAUCUUCACAGGUCUGUCUCUGUCUUGAAGUCACAGUGCUGUUGCAUGAAUUUUAAAUUAUCACAGCUACACACCUCCUGCAAAUAAUCAUUAAGGAAAAGUAUUCGCUUUUCUCUCACUUCAAAAUGUUUACUGACCAUCCCUUUGCCACAGUUCUGAGAAUCAUGCUGGGUACAGUUUUGCCAUUUUCCCAUUCAAGCACAACAAUCUAUAUUUUGAAUUUACUCCUCUACAGGAACACAAUUAUUCUUGGGAGCAUUUACAAACUAUUUAGUCAGCAGUAUCAUAAGUUUCUUAUUUCUACAACUGUGAUAACAGGAUAAACAGCUGGCACAAGUGAGGCAGCUAGCUUAUAAAAAAUAGCAUCAUUUUCACUGGUUCUCAGUUUGCUGUGCAGUCAACAACUUUAUGGUUUUGGGCUGCAGCAAGACUGAAGACGGAAUGACAGAAAAGGAAUCAGACAAAAAAUUUCUAGAUGACAAGUAUCCAUCUCUAAUUUUGUGUUGUAAAUCUCCCUUUUUCAAGUGAGUAUGAACAAACUCCACACAUAGAUGGGAUUUCACUUUAUUAAAAUUUUCCUAUUCUUGCUUAUUUUACAAACUAUUUUCAGAAAGCAGUUGUAAGUGAUCAAGCUACUACAGGAUAGAUAUUUUCUGUAGAAAAAGUAAAAGGCUCUGAGUAUUCGUUAGCAGAAAUUAUUAGUAUGAACUACUGCCCUGAAUUGAACAGUCUAUGAACAAGUACAUAAUCAGUUAUCACAGUUCACUGACUUUUGAAGCUAUGGUAUUUUACUUUCAAUCAUUUGGCAGACUGUCUGAUGUAGGAUACUUGUCAUAUGAAUAAAUUCUCAUUAUAACAGAUGCAACAGUGCUACAUUUUUGAAAACAAGAGUUCCUUGGUGAAUAGAACCAUGUCUUAUCCAGCACGUGUUUCCAGACGGGUGUUAAACCUCCCAGAUAUUUUGCUUUGGUUUCUUUGGGCAGGAGGGAGGGCAGGACCCAUGAGCAGUUACAUGAUGUUUCGGGAUUUACCUGUAAAGUUCUCAUUCAAAAAGGAUAAAAGGUGAAGAAAACCAUAUUAGUGUUUACUAAGCAUUGGAUGAUGUUUAAUAGUUUCUCAAAGCAGUUCUGUGACCAUUCAAUUUAUAUUGCAGACUGUAAAAAAACAAAAAAAAAACCAAAAAAAAACCACCACCAUAAAAGGAGAAUACAGCUGAGUGACCAGUUGAUAUGGGCAUCUCAGCAGCAAGCUAACGGUCACAACUGCAUAUUUUAGGAAUUAAUUCAGAAUACAGAUGAGCAACUUAGUCAGCAGUAGCUUUCCACAGAUGAUUGCAGUUAAGAGUAAAGUGUAACAUAUGCACAUAUACAAAUCUCAAAUAAAUGUUCACAUCUCUACAUACUUCUGUGAUCUGUAUUUAGAAUAUAGAUAAAAAAAAGUCCCAGACCACACUGGAUUUGUUACCAGCGACUUGAAAUAGCUAGCCAUUGGUAAGGCAACCAGUUAGAAGUCUGUUUACUUUAGUAAGGACUUCAUUGCAGUCCAAAUCUACACAGAAAGACUUAACAGGAGAUCACUAUGUAAUGUGGCAGAUAAAGACAUAACAAGAUAGAGCUGCUGAAAGCUGGGGAAUAAAAAACAUUACAGAAUAUUUUGUUUUUGUCUUUAGAGUUCAGAAUUAAUCCUUGGAGCUACUUACCUGAAGAUUUUAUGACUCUGCAAGGCUAAACAAUACCCUGUCUUUAUUUAGAAAUACUCGCUCAAUUUGCAUGUUGUCAAAGAUUAGAAAAUCCAGAAUGCCCUGUGCACCACUUAUUAGCAGACUACUCAGACUGAUUCUCUGCAAAAUUUAACAGCUAAAUCACUUCCACUGGGCUCAUAAAUGGUAUACAAAUGCAGUUCAUAAACACCUACUUAGGCGUAUGCUGAAUUUUAGGUGCAUUUCUUUUUUAAAGUGCAAUACUAAUAUCUUUCUGUGGUUUAACUCAGCAGGUGACUGAGCACCAAGUUACUGCUUGCUCACGCCCCCCCCCCCCCUUUCCUAGUGGGAUAGGGGAGAGAAAAGAAGCCUAAGUAGAACUUCCAGGUUGAGAUAAAAUUACUUAAGAUAGAGAAAAAGAAAAGGCUAACAAAUUUGACAAAUGUAUGUAACAAGUGAUGCACAAGAUUUGCUUGUGACCCUCCCCACAAAUUUCCAGCUAGCCCCCUGAGCGGUGGAACAGAGCCAGAACUCCCAUCCCCUUGAAAUCUCCUUGCACUUGAUGUCAUAUGGUAUAGGAUAUAAUUUUGGCCAUUUUAAGUCAGCUCUACUAAUUCUGUUCCUUCCCAGCUCCUUGGGCCCUUCCCUGCGAAAGGCCUUGGCUCUGUACAACACUGCUUAUUAGCAAAUACAAGCAUUGGUGUGUUAUCAACUAUCAACAUUGUUUUUCUCCAGGAAGCAAAACAUAACUUCAUACCAGACACUCUGAAUAAAACAAUUCCAUCCCAGCUGAAACUAAGACAUAAGAAAUUCCAAGCACAGUAUUUAAUAUCCCAAUUAAAAAUUAAUCUUUCAUUCCAAGAACAACAACAAAAUCAUGGACAAUUUUCUAUCAGGUAUUGGUCUGAAAAAAUAAAAUUUGUGUUUUGUUGCUCUCCACCCCCCUCAUCCCACCUUAAGAGACAAAAUCAAAGAAUAUUCAAUUAGGAAUCAGUUUCUCUUAGACACUGUUCUCUAGAACACCUUUAGAAAGUUGAGGGUUUUUUUCUGUCUCAGAUUAAGUAUUUUGAUUUGAAUUUUCCAUAUCUCUUUGUUCUCCACACAACCUCCCAAAAUUGAAGGUGCUCAAAGCAGACAAACUCCAGCACUGUCAUAUCAAAGCUUUUUAGAGCUCUCAAAGUGGAAAAGUUUAAUAUCAAAAUAUCUUGAAUUAGUUCAUUUAUUCAAUGAAAUUUAUAAUAUAUUGUUUAUUUGCAAAGUAAGUUUAAUUUUAGAUCAUGGGGAGUUUUGCUUUUACUAAAUUCAGUUUUACAGAGAAGUUCAGCAACUCAAGUACUGUGAUCUGAGAGAAACAGAUCUAAUUCCUUAAAAAUAAUUAUUAUUUUUUGUACGUUAUGCAAAUCAACAUCUCUAAAAACAAUCACCAAAUCCUAUUUCUAGCUGCUCAGCCACAAGGCAGGAAAUUUUGUAGCUUCAUGUACAGACUUUAUACAUGAUGUUAUGCACAAAAGACAUCAUUCACAGAGAUAUUUUCUUAUAAACAAGUUUCUCUGCUAGUGAUUACUAGCAGUACUGGUUGGCAAUAAAAGGCACCUACUCAUGUUUGAUAUUCUCUUGUCACCCAUUUGCAGCAAUAGACUGCCUUUUCACUUCCUUUAUAAACUGUUCUGACACAUGGGGCACAGUGGGAGACUGCUUUCAACUCAACUGUUUUUUCUCUCUCUCUCUCUCUCUCUCUCUCUCUCUUUUUUUUUUUUUUUUAACUGUAAUUAGCAUAUUUGUAAUAUCCUUUGUUCUAAGAAUCGAUUUUCCUUCUCUCUCAAAAAGAAAGGGCAUUACAGGACAGUGCCAAAUGAAAUGAAUGUUCUGCCACUCCACCUGGAGUUCAGGCCUGCUCUUCUACUGUUAGGUCCUCAUGCCAGGAGAACUUGUUUUCAGGUCCCAGCUGGGCAAACUUACACCAAAUUAAGAGUUCUCAGCCAAGCUAAUCAGCAGACAACAGGCUCCCACACAGCAGUAUUACCACUUCUGCUACACUAAGCAAAUGUAAAAAGCACUGAAGUAUGAAACUGUAGCAAUUUACAGCUCACUUCAGGGGUCUGAACUAUUUACAGCUUUGAAGAGAAGAGUUGGGCCAAGUUAAAACAGGGAUCAUUGAGUGCUGAAUUUCCCUAAUGGGAGGAGAAACUGUUAUGUACUGAACCUGUCAGUAAGCAACCUAUCUCAGUUAUGCAGGUCUUCUGCUUUGUGAUACCAUUUUGUAUUCUUUUGAAACAAAAAAUAUGACCAGGGCAAAAUUUCUUGUAACUAAUUGUGUUAGACACCUUAUGGCAUUGACAUAUUGUCAGCUAUUUUGUACAUGUAAGUAUUUUGUAUAUCAGAAAUCCUAUUCCUGUGGCUAUAGGAUAUGUUAUCCUCACAACAUAAACUAGUAUUUUUAUUAACAGUUUCUAGAAUUAGUAUCUGGAGACAGAUAAAUAUGAAGAUAAUUCUCAGAACUAAAUAGGUCUGUCCAAAACUCUCAGAACAGAAUCUCUUUAGUCUGCUCAAUAGAGGAGGUACCAGGGCUAUUAAGCUUUCUAGGAGUUGUCUCUAAAACAUGUUUAGAAAUAGUUUACAUUUCUACAUAAGCAGAAGGAGGGAAUAAACUUUUGUUCAAAGACAAAACAAAAGUUAAAAAUGUAAUUAUUUGUUAAAUUAUCAAUUCAGUACACACAAUUGCAACACGCACAUUAUUUUCAAAUCCAACUGUCAUCCAAAAUCCAGGAAGAAAGCCCUCUAACUCUAAUGUGGUGCUAGAAAGUGGUUUUCCUUUAUACCUCCUGAUAUGUACCCGAAAACUUGACAAAACAAGCAUGCUCUCUUAGAGUUCAGGCUCUACAUUUAAGCAUUUAAGACAUAUAUAUGCUGUACAUUGCUAUGCAUAUUGAUUCCUUUCCAAGAAUUCAUCAAUAUAUGCUAAUUUCCCUCUGGGCACGCAUGAUAGUGGCCUUCAGUGACUUAUUUUAUCCCCAUUUCACCACCAUCAGCUUUAUCAAAAAUAAUUUUGGCUGAUCUUUAGCUGUUUUCUGCUCAAUUUAGCAAACUUCCAUUGCUUGUUGGUGUCUCCAAUUUAUAGGAGGGAGAGGAGGUUCUUUGAUGUAUGUGUACCUGGCGUGAGAUUAAGAAACAACGGUUCAAAUGUUGGUCUGACCAGUUUAUUACAAAUGUUAAUAACGGAGAUGAAGAAAGGGGAGGACGGACACUAUUACAGAUUGGGGUGAUGGGGAAGAGAAGGCGAGUGAUAGAAAAGAUAAGAAGAAGCAAGAAUUGCGUGAAGCAGGGAUAGUCACCACCAGGAUCCAGCAGUAGACCCAUUGCACUCUGUUCCGAUGGUCUGAGGCCGAAGGGCAGGAGCAGUGAGGCUGGUCUUGGGCAACGAGAGCGUGCAGGUACUGGGUGGUUCCAGGAAGAAGCCACAGAGUAAGUCCAGGAGGAAGCAGCAGGUCUCAGGUAUCAGGCCCAGGAAAGUCCGUCAGCAUGCAGUCCGUAGUGAGGGAUCUGAUGGCAGACACCUCGAGUCCAUCAGCAUACAGGCCUUCUGUAGUGAGGGAUCUGAUGGCAGAAACCUUGUGUCCGUCAGCAUUCAGGACUUUCGCAGUGAGGGAUCUGAUAGCAGAAACCUCUCCUCAUGGUUGUUGGACCCUCUUUUAUCCUCCUUUUUUCCUGCCUAUGCGACAUCCCUGGGUGCUUGAGCAAGAGUCAUGUGCAUACCUCCUGAGAUGGCCAUCUUCCUCGAGAUAAGUCCGCACAAAAGACCCUUUCUCGGCCAUUAUCAGCAGCUUAUCCUUCUGUUGUUGCCCCUGGCCUUGUCCACCUGUGCUCCUUAAAGGAUUUCACAACCCUUAGCCAGGACCUGUCCAUCAGUGUCCUCCAGACAGAAAUUUCUCUACUUUUGCCCAGGACUUGCCUGGACUUGUUCCUCAGCAAACUUUGAAUCAAUUAUAUAAAAGAAUAAUCUCUUACAGUUAGACCAUAUUAAACAACUUCAAAAAUAAUACAGGUGAAAUAUGAGGAAGAUGUCCUUGCAUCUGGUGGGUGCAAAAAGACAAAAGUAGUCUAUUAUGACUCCAGUGUUUUUUGUGAGUCAGAAUCAUUGAGGAAACAAGGCUGUUCAUAUGCCAAGCAAAGUUGAAACGGAAAGUUUUAGAACUAGUACUCAUUAGUUCCUUCUACUAAACUAAUAUAUUGAUCCUUCAAGUAAUAUAAGGAUUCCAGUUGUUAAACAAACAAACCUAUAUCACAGCUACAGGGAGUCCAGGAUCAAAAAGCAUUUAACAUCCCUGAGAAAACAUUCCUCAUCCCAAAUCUCUUUCUACACUUUUUUUUUCACUCCACUUUUAGAAACCUAGACAAGACAGUCCUCUUGCUUGUAUUUAAUUACAUAAGCCAUUUUUUUUUCACAAUCUAUACAUAUAUAAACAGAUAUUGACAUACAUGUAUAUUAGAAGAUCAUAAAAUUACAAUGAAGUUUCUUGUGUCAGUGUUUGCAGAACUAUAACCAUUACCAGCACGUUGUUUUUAAAACACUGCCCUUCAAACCUCUCUUCAAAUAAAGAUAUUCCAAACACCAGCAAGAACAAAAUAUUAUAAAUGAUUCAAAUAAAUACUUUUAAUAUAUGACUUCAUAUUAUCAGUAAUUUCUCUGGGUCCUCAAACCUUUAACCAUUCCUACAAUGCGUAGAAACAUUGUCAUAGAAAAUUGUGAAGUUUUUUGUAAGUAGAGUAUAGACAAUCUCUCAACAUACUGUUCUUUAAUUAAGGCUUCCUCUGAGGCAUUGUUCUGCUAAUAGUCCUUCCAGAUCCUUCACUGAUGAGUGUAAGCCACUCAUCUCCCAGCCACAGACCUUGAACAAGCAGUCAAGAUAAACUCCAUUUUAAAUUUAAGCAAACAAUCCAUGAUAAGGCACAAAGCCUGCAAAUCAUUUCUGUACUGUAAAUACAAUUGUGAAGGCCUCUAAUGCAACAUGCAGCUUGCUACAAAGACCACCUGACUGAUCCGUCAGUGUAGUAAUCUUGUCAACAGACAAAUGAGUCAGUCACUUGCACUGUUUGCAGCAUAGCAUUGGCUGCAUAGCACUUGUAGAACUUUUGGGGUGUCAAGCCAGUAAAAACAAACAAACUAAAUACUUGCGGUAAACUUGCAGAACAGAAGACCACAAAGUAAAAGAGAAAUACAUUAGACCAUUGAUACAAACAAUGAGUUUUCUUCAAAAUUAGUUUAAGACCUUAUAUUCAAAAGCGAAGUUUAGAAAAAUAUGUGAAAAUGCAUCUUUAGGUGUCACGGUACUAGAAGAGUGUCAUGGAAGAACUGCUUAAGUUUGAAAAUACGUGCAAUGUAAGUUGUGAUUAAAUAUGACGCCUUUACAGGCUAACCUCAGACAUCUACUACAGCAAAACCUUAGGAUACCCUGGAUACAGUAUUUUUAAACAGAGGGAAGGAAGUGUUAGGUCAGCAAACGGAUACUAAAGAUUUAAACAACUUAGGUAGUACCCAUAGAUUAAAAACAAGAUCCUUAUAACCACACCACUCUGUAUAUUUUUUGAUUAUACGCCAACAAAGACCCUUUGCAAGAACCCCUUCACUGAACAGGAGUGUAGGUGCAAUGUUAGAUUUAGUAUGCGUGAUGAUUCUGAGAAUAGGUGGUGUAGGGAAAGGCAAUAGCAGAUAACAAGUUUUAAACAACCCAAAAAAAGGGUGACAGCCAUAAUCCUGUGGCUAUCAUGAUGUGCUCAAUCAUUGUUUCAGGCCGUGACUUAGCAAUUCCCAUACAGGUGGGAACUUCACUGAAAUUGCAUGAUUAUUCAUAUGUUAAAAAUAUAUAAGGGGGCUGAUUUAGCUCUGGUGUGUGCAUACUUUGUGAAGAAAUUCUCAUUCACCUAGUAAUGUAGUAAAGCACUGUUGACUUUCUACACUAUCAUUUGGUUUAGGGAGUUUUCUUGGUUAUGGUUUUCCAUAACAAGAUCAUUAACAGAAGUGAAAAAGUUGUAGAAAGCCCUGGAAUACUACACAGUUCUGAAAAUCUAUUAUUUAGGAAUGAUAAGGCUGGAAAACAUUCUAGGGAGAGCUAUUAAGAUCUUCAGGGGCGGCACAGGUUUUAACUACAUGAAAUAGGCUAAAAGGUGUUGUAUUGAUUAAUUUAGCAAGUAGUGUGUGUGCAAUAGCUUCUAUACAGAAAAACAUGAAAUAAAGUAAUUGGUGCGUAUAUUAAAGAAAAGAAAAGAAAGAAAAGAAAAAGAGAAAAGGAAAGAAAACAUGCAUACUUAUACAUAAAUUUCAAGUAAAAUCUGUUAAUUGUUCAGCCAAUUCAGCAAUUCUGUGAUACUGCACCAAUAGAAUGAAAAAAUAAAUAAUUUUUAAAGGGUGUCUUGUUAUGUAUGCUUUCAGGUGCUAAUCCAGGAUCCUGCAUCAUAUCAAAUAAAUAAUGACAAAGCAAUUAAGGUUUGUCCCAGGCUGUGUUACUAUUAGGGUGUCUUGUCACAAGAGCUGUGUUCAAAUCCAUUUUCCCUACCUUAGAAUGGUGUGCAAAAAACUAUUCCCAGGAAGGUAAUUCUAAUUAAUCCACAGUUUACUUCAGUGUUUUAUCUCUCACUAAUAUGAAAACAAUGAGUGGCAUCUCUUACUGUCUGACAACUAAUUAAGCAGGCAAAAGUUUAAGAGCCUAUCAGAUAUCAUAAUUUAUUAGGAAAUUAAUAGAAACAGCUCCAGAGAGCUGUAGCCAAAUCCAUCAUUAGUUUAUUGGACUAAAUAUAGCCUACAUUAAGUGCCUUUUUUACUGGAAUUAAAUAGACACACAAUAGUUUAAAAACAAAAGAGAGAAAAGAGAGAAAAAGGGAAGCUUAAGCUGGGAAUGAUGUCACCUACUUAAAAAAAAUGUUACAGGUAAAGAUCAAAAACUAAUUAAAAAAUAAGCAAAACAAGUUAUAGCAUGUUGGUCAUCUCACAACAAAAUCCAUAGCUUUUGUUUUGUUCUUUGUUUUUAUUUCCUUGCUGUAAACAAAUAUUGUUUCUGCACACUCUAAGCUAGGGUUCACAAAUGGAAAUAAGUCUAAUAUUUUUUUUUCAAAUACAUAGCAAAAAACUACUUAAUUAUUGACAUAACACAACUCAUCUUGUAGCAUGCAGAUUUUUCUGCAUACAUCAAAAAUGUCUAGGCGAAGAUACCUGAGAACUAACUGAAAUAAAGAUCGUUACAGAAGUGGUUGUCUUCUGGAAUUCUGUAUGAUUUUGAUGAGGCAGAAAAACCUCUCUUUUAUACUCUACAAUUCUUAAAUUUACUUUUUCUGUCUAUCUCAUAAUCCUUUCAAAAAGGCAAGUUUGAAAGGAAAUAUCAAGCAACAGAAAAAUAUAUUUGUAAGACGUAAAAUUAAGAUUCCUGGAAGGCUUUCCUAAGAAUGCAGAGCAAAGUCAUGUACUUUCCCAGGACUAGAAUAUGAUGUCUGUAGGAGACUAAAUAUUACAGAAUUGCUCUAUAAUUGGCUUAAUGAGUGUGAAUAUAAGGAAGCCGAAAAGUUUAUUGAAUACCCCCAGAAAUAAGAAAAAAAAUUGCUGUUUUAGCAUAAAUUUAAAAGAAUGGUAAAAAUGACACAAUCGACUUUCAGUUGGGCUUUUGUCCUUCUCAUACUUACCAAAUCUACUUCCAGGUUAUUUGCAUUUGGGGAGUAGUGUUCUCAACACACCAAAAUGUUGCGAUCUCCUACAGAGAGAGAAUGAAGAUGAAUGGCUUUGGUUGGUGUAUCGAACCCAUUGCAAGGUAAGACUACCGAGGCCUUCAGAAAUUUUAUAACAAAAAUGCUGUUUUUUCAAUGGCUUUCAGAAACCAUAGUUCUGUUUGCACAUACAGCCUCAAAUGAAAACACCACUGUAACAGAUAAGAUUACUUGAAAACUUAAAGUAACUUAAAUUGGUACGUCAGUCAGUGCAGCUAAGGGGCUUGAAUUCAGUUUGCAUGUAUGUUCUAACCUAACAGCAUGCAGACUGAGUGGGUAAAUUCAACAAAUCAUUAUGAUUGCCUCUAAUACACCAUGAAAAACAUCAAGUCAGUACAAAAAAAAUCUACAAAUGCUUGUGUAUUAUUCUUUGAAAGAGUAGUAAGAGGUAAGACAAAGCACUCACAGAGUGCUUUGCAAGAGUGCUUGCAAAAAAUGCAAGACAUCCAUUUAUAUGGACCCAUUGGUGUUGUUCAACAAUUAAAACUGAGAAGUAUCAUCCUGCUGAAAGAGAACUGCUUAACAAAAUAAGAAAUCCAGACCAAGACAUCUGGAAAUGGAACAGAUAAAGGAUUUGAAGUAAGUACAUCGAAGACUAGGGCUGCUUGUCCUAAAACUUUCUGGAUCUAAUAAAAAAUAAAUAAUUUUUAAAAAUGGUUGGAUAGUUAAUUAAAAUAGAUGCUUUCACUGAUACAGAUUAUGUCUUUAUGAUAUGUACUGGUGUUUCUAUACAGACAAAUUCCAUGACAAUUAUUUUUAACUAUUUAUUUAUUUUUAUUUUUCUGUCUUUCUAUGUCUUUUUGGAUCAUUUCAGGUUAAUACAGUUUUAAUUUCUCAGCUUUGCUGUAUUAAUUUUAUAUGUACUCCUCUGUGGAUUUCCUGUAAUUUGAGCGAAACGGAAUCUCCUGGUCUUUAUGCUACAGAAGACAGCGAUCCCUUACAAAGUGUUUCAGUGCACUGUAGCAUCUGAUUUAAGGGGAACAGGAUGCAAAUACAGAAAUAAAUUUAUCUUACUCCAUUUCUAAUUUAGCUGAUUAAUCCGUGUGGUACAUACAACACAACACACACAUCACCUCCUGUACUGCUGUCUGACAUUUUACAGUUUCCUUUAGCUCACCCAGAAAGCCACCGAGCCGUCUGGUGACAGAUUUUUCUUCUUUAUGAAUUCAGUGCCAUGUACUGAGAAGAACAACACACUGUCAUGCACUUCCACAGCUCCCUGUUGUGACUUCAGACACUGUUUCUCACAAAAAGUCCUCCACGGCUAUGAAUUUCAAGACUUUACUUGUGUGUAAUACACAAUGCAUUUUCAAAAUGCUAAAGAAUGUAAAGUUCUCAUUUAGAACUAAAGAUCACCUGAAGUAUUUAAUGUCCUUUCAUUACAUUAGAAGUCUUGGCAACUUUGUUUUUCAGCAUGUGGAAGCGAAGCCUAAACGUAAUAUUUACUUGGAUGCUUUAAAAGAAAAACCUUACUCUGAUAGCGACAAUAUAACUGUUGUAUAAUGCCUGGGAGGGAAAGUGCCAAAGCAUAAAAAAAUCUCCAAAGCUUAAAGACAUAUUUAUGAAUCUUAAAUGGAAGAAUUAACAGUUACAAACAUCUGGAUUUCCUUUGAAAGCUGUCUAUUAUGUUAUAGGGAUUCCCUGCUGAACUGUACAAUUCCAGAGCUGCUAUGGCCAGUACUCAGUUAUGAUAUUUGCUGUAGUUCUAGUUCUUCUGGUGGACCUUUCAUUUCAGCUAUGGAGAGGUUUCAAAAGUAAACUUUUUCUGGCUGUUCUCUACCACUGUGAUGACAUAGUAUCCAGACUGCAUGGGAGUGUCUUGAGCCUACAGAUGCAUGCACUCAGGCAAGCUUCCAAAAGACUUUGCCAAAAGUACAUCUUCCUACAAUUUGCUGCCUUACUACUGCAGAAUUAAUGCUAGUCCAGUUGAAAUGAAACAAGAUCUACAGAUAACUUGUAAAACAUAUCUACAAGGACUUUCACUGACCCUUCAUACUUUGUAGAACACCGUGUCCAGGAAGGAGAAAAAUAAUAAAAGUUUGGUGAAAAGUACUAACAGGUAAACAAAUGGACUGAAAAUUUGAAUGUCAUGGUGUAACUAGGCUCACAGAAGAUGCAAACUUCUCAAUUACAGCAAAUUCUCAAUUGCAAUUCUCAAUUGCAGCAAAAGAACCUAUGAACUUCAGAUUUGGAUCAUUGAAAAGAUGUGGUGAAGUUUACUGGCCAAAUGAAAUAUUCCCAAGACAAGUUCCAUGAAAUAUGAAGUUUUAAUACAAGAGCUGCUUCAAAAAUAAUGUUUCCCUUUUUUAUUAUGUUGGCCCACAGAGUCAGAGGUAGAUGUUGGUAGUAUGGUAGAAGAGGUUGAACUUUCACACCAUGAAGGUUUGUUGCUAUGUGACAGAUGGCAGUAGAGGGGCAGUCUGAUAAAAUGGUGUCUGCCAUGGAAAGGCAUGAGAAGAAAAAGUGUGUCAUUGAAUUUCUCCAUGCAGAAAAAAAAAAACCUGCAACCAUUGAUGGUCCUGGAUGCUUGGUGAAUGUUAAUAGAGACCAAGCAGUGGAUAUGAGCACAGUUAGGUGGUGGGUGGUGCAUUCCAACAAUGGCACUGCCAUAGCAGCUUUGAAAUAAUGGGUCAACCUCUACUGGUGCAGAUUUUUACUGGUGUGGCAUGCAAGCUCUUGUUCACUAGCUCUUGCUGGUGAAAAUGCGUAGCUAAUGAUGGUGAUUAUGUUGGAAAAUAGUGUUUUGUAGCUGAGAGUUUGCUCUAUCAAAUAGUGUUAUUGUGUUCUUUGUAUCUGUUGUAGUUUCCACGGAAAUAAAUAGGAGGCCUUACUUUUGGAGUAACCUAUGUAUUUAUAUUUCUUUUUGCACUCCUCAAGAAAUUUUGGGAGUAAUGUUAGGAUUAUGAUGAUAAAAUCGAUAAUUUCAUGAGCUAGCCCAAAAUAAUUUCAGAGAAAAAUAAUCACAUGCAAUGGAAAUACCUAUUUAUUAAGUUCCUUAUUCAUUAAUGAAAACAAAACAUUUUAUGAAAUGCCAGUUUCCUUUAUGUCUUACGUUUUUAAUUUAAGAAGGAAAUCAUUAUUAACUGCGUUUUGUACUUAAAUGGAAAUUAGCCUUGCCCGUGUAAAUGACUGCAGCAGUAAACCUGAGUAACAAGAAAUGCAUUGCUUUUCUUCUUAAAUCUGGCUUUGAAAGAAGAAAAUAAAGAUUUGUCAUCCCUUAAGGAAGCAAAUGGCCUGAUUUUGUCAUCAGUUGUCAUUUCACUCUUAACUCAAUAAAUCUUAAUCUUCAAAGUCAGUAUUGGCUUAUUAAAGAUAAACUGCAAUUCUGGAUGAUGUUUCCUCUCUUCCUGUAUUUGUUCCCAUGAAAUACACAUUACCCUUGACACAAUGGUUUUCUGUGCCUAUCCUAAGUAUCAAUUCAAUGCUAUUAAAUGCAUGUCUAAUACUAAAUAAAGCAUGCAGAUUAAGCACUCCUUAUUACAUGUACUUCAGUUUAUUGACUCACACCUUAGGUUUGUUUCUGUAUUGAGAGAGUAGUAAUUUACUGCAUGUGAUUUAUAGUUCCUAGGCAGUGGAAUGUAUAUACAUAAUGUAUUAAAUUUAAUGAAUGAUGAAAGUGUUAAAAAUUUCCGAAAUAAAAAUAGUUGUGUGUUCUUCAAAUUUAUUACUGCUUUGAAAUUAUUUUCACAAGUAUUUACAAGACUUCGUAGCAAAAGUGAAUCAUCACAGAUCCUGCAUCAGUGUUUUACAUUCACUGCAAAAUGUUGUAGACUGAAUAUCACUGAUAAUUUGACGCUGUUUUGACCCUAUUUAUUAAAGUAAUUAGGACUGAAUUCUGCUGGCUCACCAGGUUCUCCUAUUUGCUGAUGUAUCCUCAAGCUGCUAGUAGCAAUUCAGAUGCAAUGCUUUAACUCUUAUUCACUCACAUGAUGGGAAUAAAUUGUACCAUGGAUUAGGAUUAUUCACAUGCUAUAAGAACUGAAUCUACAACAUUUUCUCAAGUAUUACUUUUAGACACUGCAGAUCAAGAAUCAGAAUAUCUUGAAGAAAUUCCAACAAAACCUGGAAUUUCUUGGAUUCUUUAAAAUAACAGUUCUGUAAAAAAAAAAAGAGAGUAAUAUCCUGUCUACUGAUAAAGAGUAGGAUUAUCAUCAAUAAAGAAAGCCAGAUUUCCCAGCUUGUUUAAAAGAGACAGUAUUUCUAACUAUCCAGACAAAGCUAAUAGUAAGAGGUAAUUAAUCUAUGAGUUAAUCAAAUACAUAUUUUAGGAUUCGUUCCCUUCACUUAUACUGCCACAGUUGAAUUAGUUGUCCUUAAGAAAUAAUUUGAGUAGUGUUACUACGACAGAGUAGUACUAACCAGAAGUUCAGUCACUGUUAAUUAGUUUAUGUGAUAGUAAUAAAAAAAAAAAAAUAGUACUAGCCUACAAUCUAGAGUUUUACCAGUUCUUUCC
ensembl:lncRNA